GACGAACGCUGGCGGCGUGCUUAACACAUGCAAGUCGAACGGUGAAGCGCCUUCCUUUUUGGUGGGUGUGGAUGAGUGGCGAACGGGUGAGUAACACGUGAGUAACCUGCCCCCUUCUUCUGGAUAACCGCAUGAAAGUGUGGCUAAUACGGGAUAUUCUGGGUCUGUCGCAUGAUGAGUCUGGGAAAGAUAUUGUUUCGGUGGGGGAUGGGCUCGCGGCCUAUCAGCUUGUUGGUGGGGUGAUGGCCUACCAAGGCGGUGACGGGUAGCCGGCCUGAGAGGGUGGACGGUCACACUGGGACUGAGACACGGCCCAGACUCCUACGGGAGGCAGCAGUGGGGAAUAUUGCACAAUGGGCGCAAGCCUGAUGCAGCGACGCCGCGUGAGGGAUGGAGGCCUUCGGGUUGUGAACCUCUUUCGCCAGUGAAGCAGGCCUGCCUCGUUUGUGGGUGGGUUGACGGUAGCUGGAUAAGAAGCGCCGGCUAACUACGUG
rnacentral:rRNA from 1 species